rnacentral:rRNA from 1 species
UACCAGCACCCCGAGUGGUCGGGACGAUUAUUGGGCCUAAAGCAUCCGUAGCCGGUCUUGCAAGUCUUCCGUUAAAUCCACCUGCUCAACGGAUGGGCUGCGGAGGAUACCGCAGAGCUAGGAGGCGGGAGAGGCAAACGGUACUCAGUGGGUAGGGGUAAAAUCCAUUGAUCUACUGAAGACCACCAGUGGCGAAGGCGGUUUGCCAGAACGCGCUCGACGGUGAGGGAUGAAGGCUGGGGGAGCAAACCGG